GACGAACGCUGGCGGCGUGCUUAACACAUGCAAGUCGAACGGAAAGGCCCUGCUUUUGUGGGGUGCUCGAGUGGCGAACGGGUGAGUAACACGUGAGUAACCUGCCCUUGACUUUGGGAUAACUUCAGGAAACUGGGGCUAAUACCGGAUAGGAGCUCCUGCUGCAUGGUGGGGGUUGGAAAGUUUCGGCGGUUGGGGAUGGACUCGCGGCUUAUCAGCUUGUUGGUGGGGUAGUGGCUUACCAAGGCUUUGACGGGUAGCCGGCCUGAGAGGGUGACCGGCCACAUUGGGACUGAGAUACGGCCCAGACUCCUACUGGAGGCAGCAGUGGGGAAUAUUGCACAAUGGGCAGAAGCCUGAUGCAGCAACGCCGCGUGCGGGAUGACGGCCUUCGGGUUGUAAACCGCUUUCGCCUGUGACGAAGCGUGAGUGACGGUAAUGGGUAAAGAAGCACCGGCUAACUACGUG
rnacentral:rRNA from 1 species